rnacentral:pre_miRNA from 1 species
GCGCUUGGCGAAUUCACAGGUCCUAUCUUGUGGUAUGAACUGGGUACGCGAUGAUUUGCACUGCGUAUUGGGGGCUUACCAUAAGAUAAUGCCAUGAAUUUGUCAAGCGU